rnacentral:lncRNA from 1 species
AUGCAUCUGCUGAAGCACAAAGUGAAGUCUUGGAAACUACAUCACAAUUUCAAAGAAGAAAACAAAAAUAGACCCGAGCGUGUGAUGUGGGCCGUUAGGAGGUUGGCUGGCUGGACUGGAGGCCACCGUGUUGGAGAACUGGCAGUGCGACUCAGUCCACAGGUGUGGAGGGAUUUUUCUUUAAGGGUCCUCUUCUCAGCACCAAGCACCUGCAACUUAGAGAUAUCAUGACAAACAUCUUUUCCAGCUCCGGUGCACACUGAGUGGAAUGGGAAGUACAUCUCCAGGACUUGCAGGAAGUCAGGGUGCCCAGCCCGAAAAGGAAAACAUCAGGGCGGGAAGAGACAGGUGACUUUCACACUUCUCAGCCAAGCUGGGUCCCAAGAGCCACAGAUUGGAACUUCCGGGGCCUGGGGCUGGAGGGGAGUGGAAGGCUGGCCAGAGGGGCGCUGCCAGGGGAGGGAAGGGAUUCUCCUCAGCCACUUGACUGUCCCCGGGACACUCCCUCCAGGACUGACAGCAGCCAGAACCCAGCCCAACCCAGAAACGUCUCGCCUGUUGCCCAACUCCACAAGCUGCUAGCACUGUGCAAGAACGGAAUAUUUUCUGUAAGGGAGGGCAAAGCAGCACACACACAACUUCGAAAAGCCCAUUUAGCAGCCUGCCCUUUACCUACUCCAUUCCGGUCUUCUCUUUUGAUUUGAAUAUUGAUAAAGUGCCCAUUCUUUCA